ACGUAGGGGGCAAGCGUUGUCCGGAUUUACUGGGUGUAAAGGGCGCGCAGGCGGAAUGGAAAGUCAGUGGUGAAAUCCUACAGCUUAACUGUAGAACUGCCUUUGAUACUUUCAUUCUUGAGUUCGGGAGAGAGACGGAAUUCCAGGUGUAGUGGUGAAAUACGUAGAGAUCCGGAGGAACCCCAGUGGCGAAGGCGACCUGCUCGGCCUUGCCUGACGCUCAGACGCGAAAGCAUGGGGAGCGAACGG
rnacentral:rRNA from 1 species